ensembl:lncRNA
GACGUCUCUUAACCUAGAGUUGAAACCAAACAUUUAGGGACUAAAAAUUCAUCGCCGAGCCCCAAACACUUCAUAAUUAACCAUCGUUUUCCACUGAACCUUUCUCCAAGACCAGAAAGAAAAUAAGUCCUUUUUUCUACAAACCGGGCAAAAAAGACACAUGCAGCGGAACGAGGCAUCCCACCCGGCGAACAGAGGAUGUUUUCAGUCAUGCUUCUUGAUGUUUCCCAUUAGCCUACCACUGUGCCAACGGCGAGUCAGCCAAACGUCCUUUCACACCUACUUAGAGUGUGUAAAGCCGAGGCCUUCGCCAAGGAAAGCAUGGAUCUCGAGGGCUGGCAGGAAGUCCAAAGUGAGGAUGGUCGAUUGAAACGUAUGACGUAGUUCCCUUCUGUCCUCCUCGCACAUUCCAAAUUAGCAUUACCAGAGAAACCUUUCUUAAAAUUAAACAAUCCCAAAUGUGUUUGUUUUUGUUGUUGGUUGAUGUGCUUGUGAGCUGCCUUUUUGUAUCUUGAAGUGCAAUAAUGAUAGAAUUUAACUUAAGACUUCUUAGAGAUGUAACCGACUAACACGUAAAAUCGAAAGUGCUGCUGGGAAGUGAAGCGACAACGCCUCCAGUGUGAGGCCAGGUAGCGUGGUUAACAAAUAGUUUAACUAUGUAAUCAUUCUUGAACUCUCUGAACUGCCGAGAGUCUAUUAACCUUUUUGUACUUUGCUGCAUGACUCAUUUGAUUUGUUUGUAUGUGACGUGUACAUCACAGUAAUCAUUUGUUUUACUUAAGAGAGCCAUUUUGUUACCAAAACCCACUGUAUGGAUCUUCCACAUUAGAGCGAUGAUUAAAAAGAGACACAACUGUGAAUUAAUGGCCACGUUUUGGGAAAUUCUGCUAUCAUAUUAGGUCAAUUUAGAAUGUUGAUACUAGAGAUAGUGAGACAGAUUAUUAGACAUAGAUAACAAAUCUAAGGCUAUUUUAAUUGCGGUAGGUGAUGGUAAGAAACUUCCCUCUGUGAUAAAACUGCCAAACUUGUUUAUCUGCAAAAUAUAAAAUCGCAGACCCACGGGAAGAGUUCUCCAAGCUGAACUAAUCCCAAAUCAAGUACUGUAAGGGGCACUGUGGGCCAUGGAGAAAAGCCUGCGGUUAAUUAGAAAAAUAAAUUCCAUAUCCUCCUGAGAACAAUUAAAACAGACCCUGACUUUCAUAAACUAGUUGAUUGCCAGGAUGCACAGGAUGUGGUCAACAUGCUAUUUCAACAACACCCAGGGAACUCCUUUUAAGCCUGAUUGCAUUUAUUAUUCCCCACAGGCCACAGAUUUAUUAUUUAAAUGUGCUCAAAUGUUGUCAUUGUAAAACUUUAUGUAUAAAUUAAAAAAAACAAAUAUAGAGAUGCAACGUCCUACGUCAUUUGCUGUCCCGCAUGAGAUUACAUUCUGAUUACUCAAAUAAGUAUGCCAGUUCACGAUAAACAUUUUUUUUUGUCCAUGAAAUGGACGUUUGCGAGAGUGGAUCGGUACAAAACACACGGGCAUUGUGCACCACUUUUGGGGAUGUAGCCAUCUAGCCAUUACAAACAGGAUCCUAGAAUGAUUGUCUCUCGUCGUGGUUACCGUACGUACCGCUGCCUAAACAAAGAUCCCAUUGCGCUUUCACCAAAAAACUACCGUAACCCAACAGUUGUACUCGGAUCCACAUUGAAAAAUUCCAUUCCAUGAUGAAAACCCCCCCCUAAAACUAAGUACUCCAGGGUGACGACAUGUGAUGGCAUCGCCGUUAUCUCGGCUCUAUACCGACUCAACAGUUCAGAUCCCCCUGCAGCAGAUGUAUAGCGUCCAACCUGCAUAGAAGAAAAAAGGAAAGGAUGAUUGAACCCAGGUGUUGGAAGAGAUAAGUCCCAUAGAAACGCUGCCGUCGUGACCUGUUGUGAGGUCAGCCGAGGAGGCCUGACGUCUGUAGAGCAACUAAAGGAAACGUUAAGAGCAAAGACAUCAAGAGAAAUACGAGCGAGAUUAUCAAGAGAUGGAUUUCCAUCACUUUCGGGGGACUGUUUGGUAAAGUACGGAAAGGGAAGGGGAAAAUAUUUGUGGUCUUUGGCCUCACGGUCCAUCACUUACCGAAAUCUCAGCCUUCAAAAGUGGUUGCACAUGGAAGAAUGCAGGGCCUUGCAGAGGACGCUUUGACGGGAGAAUUAGCUUUUUCACAGGGUGAAGUUAUCGGGGGAGUUUGAAGGACAAGGCAACAAUAAUAGGCCGAGUAAGCCAUGGGUCGUGCGAGGCGCUGCAGGGGAAAGUAAGCGGGGCUCUCCAGGCAGUCACUGCGUCUUCUGGAGAAGUUUAAAUAACCUCUGCAAAGUCUUAAGGAUCAAAGAAAGUGAGUUUGAGCCUGAAUCCACCGGAUGAAACACGUGGAAAGACAAUGUUUGUCUUGUUGGGCUGGAGGUAGAAGCAGGAGUCGUUCAUCUUACACAGGAAUCAGUCAGUGUCGAUAUUGUGAAAACGGCCACAUGGAGCUUCAUGUGAUUUAGUUUUACAACCAUUUCAAAGGAAUCGUUUUGGGAAAUAAGCCUGAGCGCUUUCUUGCGGAAAGGUAGACGAGAGAAUCUGUAGUUUCGGACAGUUUCUGUCCGUUAACGACGAGGUCGCCGCCAGCAGCCGCUUAGCUUGGCGGCAUCGUCGCGGUAACGACGUCUGGGAAGUCGCUGUGAGAGAACAGUUUAUGGUCUGACAAAACAUGGUGAAUGGAUGCAGAAGGGGACAAGAUUUCCGCAGUUGACAUAUUCUGUCCAAUCACAAGGCUUGAAUUUAUGAGGAUAAAUGCUGGUUAACAUUCUGUCUGAGGAGAGCAAAGGACGUGGAACUUUUGAAAAGCUUAAGCAGAUGGUGUCUCUCUGUCACAGAGCCCCAGUGGGUGCAUGCGAUACUAAAAUAAAUUUGUCUUAAAUUAAAAAGAAGAAAUAGUCAAUCCACCAAAGGGACCAAAAACGUUUCCGGAACAAACAAAUCAGAUGAAUCCUUUUUCUCUUCUAAACAACCCUGAGAGUUCCUAAUUUAUUCAGUAGUUCAUCUUUGAACCGUUGCCACCACUUUCUGGAGUCUGCAGGGAGAGUUUGAACCUUUACCAUAAUUGUUCUCCUGAUAAUACUCUGUGAACACUCAACUAUCGCAUGGUGCUCCCCUUCUUGUUUCUCUGUGUAAAAAUUGUGCAUUGUAUUAAAUCUACUAUUAUUAUAUGAAAAAUAAAUUGUAAAUAAAAUACAUUUUGUGUAAACUCCUGA